rnacentral:rRNA from 1 species
UACGGGGGGUGCAAGCGUUGUCCGGAAUCAUUGGGCGUAAAGAGUUCGUAGGCGGCACGUAAAGUCUGGUGUUAAAGGCAGAGGCUCAACUUCUGUACGGCACUGGAUACUUGCGAGCUAGAAUGCGGUAGAGGUAAAGGGAAUUCCUGGUGUAGCGGUGGAAUGCGUAGAUAUUAGGAGGAACAUCAGUGGCGAAGGCGACUUUCUGGACUGUAACUGACGCUGAGGCACGAAAGUGUGGGGAGCAAACAGG